rnacentral:rRNA from 1 species
GAUGAACGCUGGCGGCGUGCCUAAUACAUGCAAGUCGAGCGAACAGAUAAGGAGCUUGCUCCUUUGACGUUAGCGGCGGACGGGUGAGUAACACGUGGGUAACCUACCUAUAAGACUGGAAUAACUCCGGGAAACCGGGGCUAAUGCCGGAUAACAUUUAGAACCGCAUGGUUCUAAAGUGAAAGAUGGUUUUGCUAUCACUUAUAGAUGGACCCGCGCCGUAUUAGCUAGUUGGUAAGGUAACGGCUUACCAAGGCAACGAUACGUAGCCGACCUGAGAGGGUGAUCGGCCACACGGGAACUGAGACACGGUCCAGACUCCUACGGGACGCAGCAGUAGGGUACCUUACGCAAUGGGCGAAAGCCUGACGGAGCAACGCCGCGUGAGUGAUGAAGGUCUUCGGAUCGUAAAACCCUGUUAUUAGGGAAGAACAAAUGUGUAAGUAACUGUGCACGUCUUGACGGUACCUAAUCAGAAAGCCACGGCUAACUACGUG